rnacentral:rRNA from 1 species
GACGAAUGCUGGCUGCGUGCUUAACACAUGCAAGUCGAACGGUGAAGGGGAGCUUGCUCCCCGGAUCAGUGGCGAACGGGUGAGUAACACGUGGGCAACCUGCCCCUCACUCUGAGAUAACUCCGGGAAACCGGGGCUAAUACCGGAUACGAACGGGAGCGACAUCGCUCCUGGUGGAAAGAACUUCGGUGAGGGAUGGGCCCGCGGCCUAUCAGCUAGUUGGUGGGGUAACGGCCCACAAAGGCGACGACGGGUAGCCGGCCUGAGAGGGCGACCGGCCACACUGGGACUGAGACACGGCCCAGACUCCUACGGGAGGCAGCAGUGGGGAAUAUUGCGCAAUGGGCGAAAGCCUGACGCAGCGACGCAGCGUGAGGGACGAAGGCCUUCGGGUUGUAAACCUCUUUCAGCGGGGACGAAGCGAAAGUGACGGUACCCGCAGAAGAAGCACCGGCUAACUACGUGCCAGCAGCCGCAGUAAGAC